CCUACGGGGGGCAGCAGUGGGGAAUAUUGGACAAUGGGCGAAAGCCUGAUCCAGUCAUGCCGCGUGUGUGAAGAAGGCCUUCGGGUUGUAAAGCACUUUCAGUGGGGAAGAAAGCCUUGGGGCUAAUACCCUCGAGGAAGGACAUCACCCACAGAAGAAGCACCGGCUAACUCCGUGCCAGCAGCCGCGGUAAUACGGAGGGUGCGAGCGUUAAUCGGAAUUACUGGGCGUAAAGCGCGCGUAGGCGGUCUGAUAAGCCGGUUGUGAAAGCCCCGGGCUCAACCUGGGAACGGCAUCCGGAACUGUCAGGCUAGAGUGCAGGAGAGGAAGGUAGAAUUCCCGGUGUAGCGGUGAAAUGCGUAGAGAUCGGGAGGAAUACCAGUGGCGAAGGCGGCCUUCUGGACUGACACUGACGCUGAGGUGCGAAAGCGUGGGUAGCAAACAGGAUUAGAUACCCUAGUAGUC
rnacentral:rRNA from 1 species